GACCGGGUACGGGCAGCAGAUUCCAUACGUGAUGCCAUACGGGCCUGGAUACGGAGCACCCGGAUACCCGAUUCCGCCCCCACCGAUGUACAUUGGCAACCCGCCGGAGAUGUUCAGCGAUGAGAACCCUAAUGCCUGCUCAAUUAUGUGAAGAAAUUGCUGAAUUAAGAAGGGAUUAGAGUUAAUAAGAAGUUGAUAUGAAGAAGACCAAGAGAAGAAAAAACAAGAACUGUAAAUAAGAGAAUAGACAGGGGUAGAUGUGAGAUAAAUUUUGGUGGGGCGGGUUCGUCUCUGAACCGGUUUGGU
rnacentral:lncRNA from 1 species